GCCGAAGUGGCGGAAUUGGUAGACGCAGCGGACUCAAAAUCCGCCGCCCUUAAAAGCGUGAGGGUUCGAGUCCCUCCUUCGGCACCA
rnacentral:tRNA from 1 species